rnacentral:rRNA from 1 species
UCCGUAGCUUGCUUAAUAAGUUUCCUGUGAAAUUCUGUCUCUUAAGGGCAGAGCGCGCAGGAAGUACUGUUGAGCUAGAGACUGGAAGACGUGAAAAGUAUGUUCGAAGUAGCGGUAAAAUGCGUUAAUCUUGAGCAGACUCACAAUAGCGAAGGCAUUUCACGAGGACAGUUCUGACAGUAAGGGAUGAAGGCUAGGGGCGCGAAAAGGAUUAGAUACCCUUGUAGUCCUAGCAGUAAACACUGCACACUAAACAUCAGUACCUCCUCGAGAGGUAUUGGUGCUGCAGAGAAGUCGAAGAGUGUGCUACCUGGGAAGUAUAGUCGCAAGGCUGAAACUUAAAGGAAUUGGCGGGGGAGCACAAG